AUACUUACCUGGCUCAGGAGUUAACCGUGAUCACCAAGGCGGUUCUCCCAGUGCGAGGCCUCUCCAUUGCACUUCGGUGGGGCUGACCGCUGCGAGUAUCCCAAAUGUGGAUACCUCGGGAGUAUAAUUUUUGAUAGUCGGGACUGCGUUCGCGCUGUCCCGG